rnacentral:rRNA from 1 species
AUUGAACGCUGGCGGCAUGCUUUACACAUGCAAGUCGAACGGUAACAGGCCGCAAGGUGCUGACGAGUGGCGAACGGGUGAGUAAUGCAUCGGAACGUGCCCAGUCGUGGGGGAUAACGCAGCGAAAGCUGCGCUAAUACCGCAUACGAUCUCUGGAUGAAAGCGGGGGACCGAAAGGCCUCGCGCGAUUGGAGCGGCCGAUGUCAGAUUAGGUAGUUGGUGGGGUAAAGGCCCACCAAGCCAACGAUCUGUAGCUGGUCUGAGAGGACGACCAGCCACACUGGGACUGAGACACGGCCCAGACUCCUACGGGAGGCAGCAGUGGGGAAUUUUGGACAAUGGGCGCAAGCCUGAUCCAGCAAUGCCGCGUGCAGGAAGAAGGCCUUCGGGUUGUAAACUGCUUUUGUACGGAACGAAACGGUCCGGGUUAAUACCCUGGGCUAAUGACGGUACCGUAAGAAUAAGCACCGGCUAACUACGUGCCAGCCGCCGCCGUAACAC